UACGUAGGGGGCAAGCGUUGUCCGGAUUUAUUGGGCGUAAAGAGCUCGUAGGCGGUUGGGCAAGUCACGUGUGAAAUCUCCACGCUCAACGUGGAGGCGCCACGUGAGACUGCCCUGACUCGAGUCCGGUAGGGGAGCGUGGAAUUCCCGGUGUAGCGGUGAAAUGCGCAGAGAUCGGGAGGAACACCCGUAGCGAAGGCGGCGCUCUGGGCCGGUACUGACGCUGAGGAGCGAAAGUGUGGGGAGCAAACAGG
rnacentral:rRNA from 1 species